rnacentral:rRNA from 1 species
AAUCAACGCUGGCGGCGUGCCUAACACAUGCAAGUCGAACGAGAAAGUGGAGCAACCCAUGAGUACAGUGGCGACCGGGUGAGUAACACGUGACUAACCUACCCUGGAGUGGGGAAUAACCUUCCGAAAGGAGGGCUAAUACCGCAUAAAGUCCUGAGGCUGAGAUGCCAUAGGACCAAAGGAGCAAUCCGUUUUGGGAGGGGGUCGCGGCAGAUUAGCUAGUUGGUGAGGUAACGGCUCACCAAGGCGGUGAUCUGUAGCCGGCCUGAGAGGGCGCACGGCCACACUGGAACUGAAACACGGUCCAGACUCCUACGGGAGGCAGCAGUGGGGAAUUUUGCGCAAUGGGGGAAACCCUGACGCAGCAACGCCGCGUGGAGGAUGAAGGUCUUUGGAUUGUAAACUCCUUUCGAUCGGGACGAUUAUGACGGUACCGGAAGAAGAAGCCCCGGCUAACUUCGUGCCAGCCGCCGCCGUAAAAC